rnacentral:rRNA from 1 species
UCCGGUGGCUAUAGCGGAGGGGACACACCCGUUCCCAUCCCGAACACGGAAGUUAAGCCCUCCAGCGCCGAUGGUACUGGGCGGGAAACUGCCUGGAAGAGUAGGUCGCUGCCGGAU